rnacentral:rRNA from 1 species
CCUUUGACGUUAGCGGCGGACGGGUGAGUAACACGUGGGUAACCUACCUAUAAGACUGGGAUAACUUCGGGAAACCGGAGCUAAUACCGGAUAAUAUUUCGAACCGCAUGGUUCGAUAGUGAAAGAUGGUUUUGCUAUCACUUAUAGAUGGACCCGCGCCGUAUUAGCUAGUUGGUAAGGUAACGGCUUACCAAGGCGACGAUACGUAGCCGACCUGAGAGGGUGAUCGGCCACACUGGAACUGAGACACGGUCCAGACUCCUACGGGAGGCAGCAGAA